rnacentral:rRNA from 1 species
AUGAACGCUGGCGGCGUGCCUAAUACAUGCCAGUCGAGCGAACAGAUGAGGAGCUUGCUCCUCUGACGUUAGCGGCGGACGGGUGGGUAACACGUGGAUAACCUACCUAUAAGACUGGGAUAACUUCGGGAAACCGGAGCUAAUACCGGAUAAUAUAUUGAACCGCAUGGUUCAAUAGUGAAAGACGGUUUUGCUGUCACUUAUAGAUGGAUCCGCGCCGCAUUAGCUAGUUGGUAAGGUAACGGCUUACCAAGGCAACGAUGCGUAGCCGACCUGAGAGGGUGAUCGGCCACACUGGAACUGAGACACGGUCCAGACUCCUACGGGAGGCAGCAGUAGGGAAUCUUCCGCAAUGGGCGAAAGCCUGACGGAGCAACGCCGCGUGAGUGAUGAAGGUCUUCGGAUCGUAAAACUCUGUUAUUAGGGAAGAACAAAUGUGUAAGUAACUAUGCACGUCUUGACGGUACCUAAUCAGAAAGCCACGGCUAACUACGUG